AGAAAAGAAAAAGGAAACUGCAACGAUGAACAGAUCAGAAUAGGCGACAUGCACUGAACAAGGUAAAAAAGACAGAAAAUUAUCUGGAGAGGUGGCCGGAGGACACAUCAAGAAGCGCCUUGUACAUUGAAUCAGGCAACAUCUCAUCCUAUAAAAUAAAAUGGGUUUUCCGAUGAGCUGAGAAGACGAGCCUGGCUUUAUAGGCAGAAAAGGGCUGAAGAAAACAGAAACAGAGAACAAAAAGCAGAUGCUUUGUUUCAAGGAUCCGGUUUUGUUCAGGUGUUCACACGAAUCAUGAGAUUCACAGGAAUGGGAAGCCGAACUCAUUCCCAGCUCCAGAAGUGGAUGCUGAUAUUUUAAACCAAUCACCAGAUGCCAUUCCUUUGAUGAUGAUGAUUAAUUUGUCCAGGGGCAGGUAUGAGACCCAACUUGAACUGGUCAGACAGAAGGGAAGGACAUAAUUCCAAAUGGACACCUGUUCUCUCUCCUACCAGUGAGGAAAAGGAAACGAGAUGUCCAGCUGUUGGCCCCAGUCAUAAG
rnacentral:lncRNA from 10 species